rnacentral:ribozyme from 1 species
AUUAGAAUGGUCCUGUAAUGGGAUGAGAUUCGAAGCCUCCUGAAGAUUCCAUUCAACUUCUAUUCCGACACGUCCACGUCGUGCAGCGAGGUAACCCAAGUCCAGUCUUUUAGGCGGGCGACGGCUCUUGGCUAAGGAAGAAGGA